GAGGGCGUGACCUCACCCAGCUCCAGGAUGAAUAUGUCUGCCAUGGGACGCAUUGUACGAACAUUACGCUUCCCAAACUCUGCCCCCAGUUCCAUCACACCCACACGGCUCAGGCUGAUGACAUCACUGAAGGGGCCUGUUGCCAUUGAGGCUGAUCUGUGUUGCCAGGUGAUAGAGAGCUGACCCUUGACCCCGCUCACUCUACAGGUGAGUUGUAGCGCAUCCCCUUCGUCAACACUCACCUGUUGGGUAUCCAUGGCAACAGCCAAACCACUUUCUGAGAACAGACAAAAAGAAGGUGCUGAGUGUGUGAUCAGUGUGUGAUAAGUGUGUGUGUGUGUGAUGAGUGUGUGAGUGAUGAGUGCGUGUGUGUGUUGUACAUAUGUAAUAACUGUUUUCAGAGCCAGGUCAAUGCACAAACUGAACUUAUUGAGGAUCUCACCCCCUGUUAUUGAUUGGUGUAGCAACCACAUGGAAAGCUGAUGAAACAUCUACAAUUUUGCUCUGGCUCUGACUCAGUGCUUGAUGACUGAUCUUAAUGACCCAGCUGCUCUUUCUUCAUCUGACAAUGUUUUCUCUCAUAGUCCGACAGCAUCUGGUCGUCGCAUUGGUGGUACAGGUCUACUCAUUUCUGUGGAGAUUUUCUCUCACCUCUCUCACCUGUCCAUCUCCUCAUUUGAAUUCCAUGCUGUCACUGUCACUUGUCCACUCAAGCUUAACAUUAUUGUCAUCUAUCGCCCACCAAGUGCCAUUGGAGAGCUCCUCAAUGAGCUUGACACCUUGAUAAGCUAAUGUCCUGACGAUGGCUCACUGAUCUUUGUACUUGGAGACUUCAACCUCCCGACAUCUGCCUUCGAUUAAUUUAUUUCCGACUCUCUCUUUCCCCUCCUUGCCUCUUUUGACCUCACCCUUUCCCAGUCCCCUCCAACUUACAGGGCAGGCAAUACUAGAGGCUGCUCACCUACUACUCUCACUGCAACUCCCCUCCAGGUCUCUGAUCACAGAGCGUCGGCUAAAUGACUAAAAUACUCUUCACGUGGAAAAGGACCGAGGUCACUGACAGGCGCUCCAGAGUGAUGACACCUCCCCUGACGCGGACGCCGUACACCGCCAUGGCAUAGUUUUGGUCAUCUGUGCUGAUGAUCUGGAACUCCUGGGUGGGCUUUUUUGGCUUGUAGACUGAGAAUCUGAAGUCCUGCUGGGCCGACGGGUUUGAGAAGCCACUCACGUUGCAGGAGAUGGAGAUAGGGUAGCCAAUCACACGAUGCAGAGGGCCAGACUGCACCUCCACAAGCACCCUGGCCCCGCCUAGAUGGAGAACAUAAGUAAAUACAGGAAGAUGAUAUUCUCAGACUAACUUAAAGAGAAUUAUAUCUAGCUUCAAAUAUGACCUCUCUUUUUUAGAAUGAUUGCAGUCUGCACUGUCUGCCUCUCAUCAACAAACUAUAAAUAAUGCAUUCAUAUCGCAACUGUCAUGUGACAAUUGUAAUGGCUUGAAAACAGCCACAGCUCCAUCUCUUAGACUAACACCUGCUGUGGGGAGGUUUGAUUGUGCUGCUAAUCAAAAGGUGUAAUUACUGCUGUUACAUUGCAAUUUGGAAUAAAUCAUUUUAAAUCGUCA